GAAAACUACACCUUCGCGGGCGGAAAGGCUAACCCUCAUAAAACCGGCCCGGACAAAGAUAUUUAACAACGGAGUGCGAGCGGAAGCGAAAUGACAAAUAUUCCGGUAAAACUACGUGGCAUCGUUGGAACCGGUAUUGAAACAAUUGGUUAAGCGAGUGGUUAAGAGAAACAACGACCCGUCGAAAAAAUCAACACACCCAUAUUGAACCUCAUACUUUGGCUGCGGCUAUGGUGUCCGGACAUCAUUCAGUUUUACAUCUAAAGUUGAAACUUUGUGUAAAUAAUGCUGCUGAUGAAUGUUGGACCGCCUAUUUAAAUCAUUCUGAUUCUUCGCAAAGCUGAUUGCUGGCUGGUUCAAGGAAAUGAAAGUUCAAAUUGGACGAUGUGACGGUGCAGAGGCAGUCCGCAGAAUGCAUGUUUUCCACCAGCAAAAAAGAUGCUUCAAAGAGAAAAGUGAUGUAGGUACUAUGCCUAUUUCCAACUGAUACAUAGGCCACACUGAUGUUACGCUCUAAGAAAAUUCUGACCGCAAGGACAUUGCUGGAACAGCUGGUAUAUACCGGGCAAGUUAAUUUUCAUUUGAUUUUUAUUUUUUUAUUCCAUUUUAAAUGCUUUUUAUUUAGCUUUAGUUUUA